rnacentral:tRNA from 1 species
GCCUGGGUGGCUCAGUUGGCUGAGCAUCUGUCUUCGGCUCAGAUCAUGAUCUCAGGGUUUAUGGGUUCGAGCCCCGCAUCAGGCU